ACGAACGCUGGCGGCGUGCUUAACACAUGCAAGUCGAACGGAAAGGCCCCUUUGGGGGUACUCGAGUGGCGAACGGGUGAGUAACACGUGAGUAACCUGCCCUUGACUUCGGGAUAACUUCAGGAAACUGGGGCUAAUACCGGAUAGGAAUCCUUGCUGCAUGGUGGGGGUUGGAAAGCUUCGGCGGUUUUGGAUGGACUCGCGGCUUAUCAGCUUGUUGGUGGGGUAGUGGCUUACCAAGGCUUUGACGGGUAGCCGGCCUGAGAGGGCGACCGGCCACAUUGGGACUGAGAUACGGCCCAGACUCCUACGGGAGGCAGCAGUGGGGAAUAUUGCACAAUGGGCGGAAGCCUGAUGCAGCAACGCCGCGUGCGGGAUGACGGCCUUCGGGUUGUAAACCGCUUUCAGCAGGGGCGAAGCUUGUGGUGACGGUACCUGCAGAAGAAGCACCGGCUAACUACG
rnacentral:rRNA from 1 species